AGGAGUAAUAGAUUAUUCUUAACCUGCUAAGUUAAAGAAUUCGCGGUUUAAUUCCGUGGUACUUCUG
rnacentral:tRNA from 1 species